AGCGCUCAUAGGUGCAUUCUAGGCGCUCAUAGAAAGCAUCUUUGGUCACAUCGUCCUUCUCUUCCGUUGGGGGGUGGGCGCAAAUCAGCGAUAUGUUGAAGAACCUCGCUUUGAUGCGGAUUGUGGCAAGACGUUCAUCCACCGGGGUGAAUGCCAGGACUCGGCGACGUAGUCUCUCUCCCACCACAAAUCCAACACCGAAUUUGCGCUCCUUUAUAUGGCCGCUGUAGUAGAUGUCACAAGGACCCACCUUCUUCCGUCCUUGUCCCGUCCAUCGCACUUCUUGGACGGCGGUGAUGUCAGCCUUUAGUUGUAUGAGGACAUCAACCAGCUGGGCAGAGGCACCUUCCCAAUUAAGAGUCCGGACAUUCCAGGUGCAUGCCCUCAAAUCAUGAUCCUUAGUACGUUUGCAGGGGUCGUCAUCAAAAGGGGGGUUUCUCAUCCGAGGCUCGGUGUUUGUUUUCAUUGGGGAGAUUUUUUUUAUGUGGUGGGUCCCAAGCCCUACGCACAACCGCACAAGCGGGCUUCGCCUUCUCACUUUAGCUCGCCUCCAAACGGAUGUCUGUUAGCUACCCAGGGGAUACUUGGUCUAAAACCGGAAGUCGGGAGCUGCUUGAGUCAUAUGCAAAAGAAUCGUUCCUGGCCACUCCCAAGUGAAUGGCAAUCAGAAACUUUCCUCACUUGCGUGAACUUCUACAUAUGACCCCAUCCCCCAUCCUCUCCUUAUAGUCGCAUUAUUUAUUUAUUGCAAAUUAUUUGUUUAUUAUUAGCAAAGAGCUAUCCACCAGUUGGUGGCGCUAAGUACGCUAUGUAACAGUAGAUGGCGCUAUAUUUCUUUUUAAAUGUUCAUGGAUUUAGGCUGUCAUAACAAAAGCUGCCACUUGCUAAAAACAUUAAAUGAAAAUGCAUUGUUUGAAGUUUAUAUUAUUUGUGGUAAAGUUAUACGAUGUUUUAUGGGUAAAUUUUGUAUGCUUGUAAGUUUCUUCAAUAAAUUGCGCGAGUAUAAAAUGUUCGGUUGCACCCGAACUUAGCCUUUCCUUACUUGUUUUAUUUAUUUAUUUUUAUUACAAUUGUACCUAUUAUACAAUGAAUAAAUACUAACAACAAUUCAAUUCUAAUAACUUAAAAAUAAUAAUUAAAAGCUAAAUGUUAAAGAAAUUCAUUUGCUGCUACAGUUGCCUAGCUAAGUCUGAAGGCCUCUUACGUUUCAGUCGAUUUUCUCGUUCAGCAGUACCGAUGAGUCUGGAUGCCUCUUCAUUUACAUGCUGUAUAAGCCUCAUUUCGUGAGUCUUUGCAAGUUUGGUUAUUUCGUUUACUACUGAAUUCACACCAAGAUCACGGUGAAGGUCAGCAGAUCUAACAUACCAAGGAGCAUUAACUAUACUUCUUAGUACCUUAUUUUGGAAGCGCUGAAUGCAGGCAAUACAGUUUUGACUUGAGCAACCCCAUAGUUGAGCUCCAUAGGCCCAAAUUGGCUUUAGCACUUGAUUAUAUAUAAACAGCUUGUUUGCGAUUGAAAGCGUGGAUAUCCUACCGACCAGAUGGUAAAACUUAGCAAAUUUUAAAUCAAGCUCGCAUCUUUUUUUCUUGACAUGCUCUUUCCAGCGAAGCUUUGCAUUUAGCGUGAUUCCUAGGUACUUAGCAUUAUUGUUAUGUGGUAUAGGAGUACCAUUUAUAUAAAUGGGAUGGUAUGAUUGUUUUUUAAAGUAAAGUCUACGUGCAUUGAUUUGUAAUCGUUUAACACAUUGAGUGCCAUGGCUACACGUUUUCGUGUGACAGGCAUUGUCUGUAUAUAAAAUAAUAACUUCAAUUCAACUGUUUUGCGGUCUUCAACCGUUUUCGGGCAGCCAGGUCACGCAUUGACCACUCACUCACUCACUUGACGGUGAGCAGUUGCAAGUGGUCACACUCGGGCUGACGCUCCAUCCACUUCAAAGCAGUCUCGAGGCCGGGGGGAAGUCAGUGUAGGCACAACGGCAAGUUAAGACAAGUCAAGUCAAGACUUGACGCGCAAACACUGGCUUCGCGGAGGGAAGAAUAAUAGCGCACUUAGACUUUUUUUGGACAAUUUUUUGUGAUUCGGAUAAUCGGCGAUUCGGAUAGUUGGAGUUCGGAUAAUUGGAGUUCUACUGUAUUUCAGUAAUGAGCCUAAGCCUAAUGUUUGCCCUAAAUUUUGGUCCAAGUUUCAUAGAGAUAUCUUCAUUUUUGCGGUUUUUAUGAUAAAAACUCGGAAGUUCUUUUCAAUUUUGAAAAUUUAUUGGAAUUCAUUCGAUAUUUCGGAAAAAAAGUAUAAAAAAGAUAUUGAAAAAUUAAAAUUAGGAUAUUACAUUAAUUUUUUACAUUAAUUUUUUAGAUGUGUAUAUUUUGGAAAGCAAUCAAUGCACAAUUGGGGAGUGUUGGGGCAUUGCGGACAGUACGUAGUUGUCCUUUUGAUAUUCUUUCUUGCUUCCUUUCGAUUAAAUUUUCUUUUUGCUUUCAAUAAAAAAUUUAAAUAAAUGUAAAGGAAAAUGCGUAAAAAGAAAAAAAAAUAAGAAAUAGCAAAAAAAAUCGCGUCGCACAUUUUCGUACGACAUCGAUUUUUACGAUUGCAAUUCCGUCGUGCAGUGCCAUGUCGUAAGGAAACGUUCGACAAAAAAAAUGUUAUAAAAUCCAAAAUAAACCACACUCAUCCGCGAUUGGCGCAGAACUAAAUAUUUUCUACUUUUACACCAGUUUAUAGCAAAAAAUGUGCUUGGCACCCGGGGAAGGUUUUCGUCAAAACCCCUUGGCACUCAAUGUGUUAAUUUAAUGCACCACUUGGAAGCCCAUUUAGUAAUUGCAUUGACUACUGUUUGCACUCGAAGGGUAGAUAUUGAGGUUGACUCUCCUGCUGCUAACAAGGCUGUGUCAUCCGCAAACGUCGCUGUUACGUAAGUUGAGUCAGUGGGGAUAUCACUUGUAAAAAACAAGUAAAGCAUUGGCCCCAACACACUUCCCUGUGGAACACCCGCUUCUAUAGGUUGCAAGUUUGAGUAUGCAUCCUCUUGCUUUAUGCGAAAGUAUCUAUCUUUUAGGUAGGAAGCAAUUAUUUCGCAAUAUUUUUUGGGUAACAUGCAUUUCAGUUUCAGCAGUAGACCCGAAUGCCAAACUCUAUCAAAAGCCUGAGACAGGUCUAAGAAGGCCGCAGAACAUACGUUCUUGUUAUCCAUAGCAUUUUCAACGAAAACGAUUCGGUGUACCUGGUCAAUUGUUGAAUGGUGAUCACGAAAGCCGAACUGAUGUACUGGUAUAAGGUGUUUUCGAUCUAUUAUUGAUUUGAGCCUCUUUAUGAGAACGUUCUCGAAGACUUUCGAUAGAGCUGGCAGCAGCGAUAUUGGCCUGUAAGAUGUGACAUCAUGUAGUGGUUUACCCGGCUUAGGUAUCAUAAUAACUUCAGAUACUUUCCAAAGCGAUGGAACGUAUCUUAAGUAUAAUGCGCUGUUUACAAUGUUUACAAUUUUUUUUUAUACAAUUCUUUGGUAGAUUGCGUAAUAUCUCUCCGGUUAUUAAAUCAAACCCAGGAGCUGUUUUGAGCCUUGCGUCCCUGAUAAUACUUUUAAUUUCUUUACAAGUAACUGGAGAAAUGCUGACGAUUGGAUCCAACCAACUAUUUUCACAGUUUAGCUCAUCUCCAUCGUUGGGUGUAAAUGUGUUUCUCAAAUGAUUUGCAAAUACUGCAGCUUUUUGUGCAUUCGUUUUGGCCCAUUCAGUUUCGUUUCAUUUUAUUGGUACGACAUGUUUUAUUUGUUUAUUAAUAUUCCUUGCAGCUUUCCAGAGCGAAUAAUCGGUAGUUUUAUCAACAGUGAGUUUGGACAAAUACGUUUUGAAGGAAUAGUUUUUAAACUGUCUAAUUUUUGUUCUUAGUUCCGCUGUACAUCUAUUAAGCUAUGUUUUGAGAGCAGCCGACCUAGUUUGCUGCCCUCUUCGUCGAAGUUUGCGUUUUUUAUGGAUACCAUCUAAGAUGUUUAUUAGAUAAAGAACACGUGCCAGACGUAAUUACUGGUUUUUCACAUAAAGUUAGUAACACUGGUGAAUGAUCAGAGCUUAAAUCUGAGCUAUCUUCAAUACGUAAAUUGAUUUUCGAUACUUUGUUGAUGACAAAAAAGUCAAGUAGAUCUGGUAAUUUCCUACUAUCUGCAGGCCAAUAAGUGGGUCUCCCUGUCGAAAUGACAUUGCAUCCAAUAACUUGUAUAGCUUUCAGUAGUUCUCGACCUUUGUUUGUAGUUAAACGUGAUCCCCAAUGAGUGUGUUUUGCAUUAAAGUCACCACCCAUGGUGUACCUUCCGUCAUAUUUUUUUAGUAAACUCGUAUAAGUAUCAGUUUUGAUAUUAUGCCUGGGCGGACUAUAUAAAGCAAUUAAGUAUAAUGACUGACUGUGCAUUUUUACUGAAAUUGCUGUAGCUUGAAUUUCUUCAGUCUUAAUCUGGGUUUCUUCGAAAUGUUUAAUAAAAUGUUUAAUAAUAAUUAAAACCGCGCUUCCCCUCGUGCUGAGUUUGCCGGGUGCGGAGUGUGGUAUAAGUCAUAAUUUUUGAAUUUUAAAAAUGAAUGGUUCGUAAAAUGUGUUUCGGACAACAAACAUACAUCAAUAUUUCUGUCGUUUAGAAUAACUUCCAAUUCAUUUUUACUUUUGGAAAGACCAUUGGCGUUCCAUAGCAUUAUUUUCAAGAGUUACUGUUCAUCAAUAAAUUUUAUAUGGUAUUCAAGAGCGCUGAGCCGUUCAUUUAUGGACUUAAAUAAUUUUUCUUGUUCGUUUAGUUUAUCCAGAAUUUGGGAUAACGGACUACUUUUGAACUUUUUGAACUGUAUUUGUCUGACCUUGCUUAGCCAUUAGCGCAAAUGUAAUUUUAGAAGUUGAUGGGGGGGGUCUCACUUCAUUCCUUCCUUUGUCCGCAACGGAGUUUUUCGCCUGAGCAUUGACAUUCUCCUCAACUGUAUUACCAUUCUUUUGGUCUCUAAUUUUGUGCAGUUCUUUUGCAACGACACAACCACGGUAGCUUGUGCCGGCCAUAGACCACACAAGUAAACUGCACAAGUCUAGCACUGCACAGUGCGUUUGUGUAGUGUAUGGGGGUGUUUGUGCUACUUGUGCAGUGAACUGAGCAAUAUCAAAACGAUUUUGAUAUUUUUACACAAGUCUGAAUACUGCGCAGUGAAUUUGCGUAGUAUAUGGCGAAAUUAGCUCAGUUUUGUUUCAGUUUUUGUGAAGUUAACAUCAAACGCAUUUAUUUUAAUUAUGAGUGAUGACAAACAGUUUUGGACUGAGUUCCUUGAACUUUAUAAAGAAUCACCUUCAUUAUGGCGAAUAAAAAGCAAAGCAUAUAGCAACAGAAUAAUGAAAGCCGAAGCAUACGAAAAAUUAGUUCUAAAAUUAAAAGAAAAAUAUCCCGACGCAAACAGAGAUAUGGUGGUUAAAAAAAUUAAUACAUAUAGGACAACAUACAAAAAAGAAUUCAAGAAAGUGCAAAGAAGCGAAAAGUCUGGAGCUGGAUUUGAGGAUAUUUAUGAGCCAACAUUAUGGUUCUAUAAUAUUCUAAAUUUUCUCGAGGAUCAAGAGGAAAGUGCACCUAGCACAUGUUCAAUGGAAUAUGAUAGUUUAGAAGAGACUUCACCAAAAACAUCAACAACACAACAUAGACUAAAAAAACGUAAAAUUACCGAGGAAGAUAAUUUAAUUAAAAUAGUGUGCGAACACCUGAAAUCACAAAAUAACAGUAACCAACAAAACAACAAUGACCCAGAUGAUGUGGUUGCCAAAUCUUGGGGUGCGCAAUUAAAAGAGAUGGAGCCUCAACAAAAAAUAUUGGCGCGUAAAUUAAUAUCGGAUGUUUUGUAUCAAGGAUGUGUUGGAAAUUUGAAUAAUUCGCACAUACAGGAAUUAUUCAACAUAUUUCAAUCUAGACCAACAACAGCAAUUUCUUACGUAUCCACUCCAUCGCCAGUAGAGCUUAUAAAUGCUCCAUAUGAUCCAACAACAUAUAAUUCACAGGAAUCAAUACAGGGAUUCUACGCGAAUUUUCAAUACAUUUUUUUUUAUACUGCUCAAAUUAAAGUGAAUUUUUUAUGUUUCGUUAUUACCAAAUACUAUAACAGUACGAUUUACUGGUGCUAGGACUUCUGUUUCUGUUGUACCUGCAAGAUUACUGUUGGGGUAAACUUGGUCAUUUUUUUUUCUUAAAAAAUUAUGUAAGUGGCAACAAGUGAGGACUAUGAUUGUUGUUUUUUCGUGUGACAAAUUAAUAGUUUUUAACAAAAUUCUGAAUCAUGUUGAAAGAAUUCCAAAUGUAUUUUCAACUACGCCCCGCGCACGUGACAGUCGGUAAUUGAAUAUUAUUUCAUCUUUUAUCAUCGAAGUAUGGCUGAACGGCUUCAUUAUAUUUUCAGUUAAAGGGAACGCGUCAUCUGCGACAAAAACAUAGGGUAAUGCAGUAUCGCAACCUGGAGGACACUCUUUAGACGGUAUUUUGAGCUCGUUGUUCUUCAACCUCAUAAAAAAAAGUGAAUCACUAAAAAUUCCAGCAUCUGAAGCGCGACCGUUUUUGCCAACAUCUACCAUUAAAAACUCGUAAUUUGCAUUUACAACAGCCAUUAAAACUAUUGAAAAGAAUUUUUUAUAAUUGAAGUAGAAAGAUCCUGUUCCAGGGGGUUUUGUAAUAGCAACAUGUUUGCCAUCUAUCGCCCCGAUACAGUUAGGAAAAUUCCAUCGUUGGUAAAAUGCAUUAGCUUCCUUUUUCCAAUCUUCUUCACUUGAUGGCAACUGCAAAAAUGAUAAACGAUAAUUAUAUUUUGGUGUCAACACGUGAAGUCUUCUGAUUAAUCUCCGCAAAGUUGGUUUUCAGGACUUCAAUUAUGGCUUCACAAGUUUCGAACACUAUUCCACCUAUAAUUUGCGGUGCAAUGGCUGUUAGAAAUUUUAAGUCCUCGAAACUGUUGCCACUUGCCAGAAACCGCAACGUCAAGGCCAAACGAUGAUGCACUGGAAUCGCUUUUCUCAUGAUUGUAUCAUUUUUUUUUACUAGUGGUGCCACUUUUGCCAACAAUUCAUCAAAAGUUUCUUUGCUCAUUCUUACAUAAUUUUUAAAAUCACUUUCCGCUGAAAAUUCUAAUUCUUUCAAUAUUUUCUGCUGCCCUAACUUGUCUCUUUUUAAAAACCAUUGUUUACUCCACACACUUCUUUUCCUUUUUCCUCGUUUUUUUUAUCGCUAUAGCGAUUAAUAUUAUCGCGCAAUAUUUACACAUGUUGUCUGUUUCGCUUUCAACAUUAAAAUAAAAACUUGCACAGUUAGCUUGUAUAGUGCGAGUCGCAGUUUUUUUUUGCACAGUGCUAGACUUGUGCAGUUUACUUGUGUGGUCUAUGGCCGGCAUUGCAGGAUGAGAAUCGCCGCAGUUGCAACAUUUGGCAGGAUCUUUUUCGGCUUUGGUGCAUUUAGUUGUAGGAUGUUUGCCUCCACAUUUCACACAUCUUGAUGGCUUACCGCAGAAGUUUUUUGUAUGUCCAAAAGCUUGACAGUUUUUGCACUGAGGAAUUAAUUUAGAGGCUUUGGUAGGCUCAACCUUGAUAACGGUAUUAAGAAUGCUUUUGAUCUGAUAAACUUUCUUAAUGUCCUCGGUAGCAUCGAAUACUACUAAUGUAAUGUAUUGACAUCCAUUUUCAAAAAUUCCUACCGUAGAUCGAACUUGAAAAUAAUAUAUUUUUAAUUUUUUGCAUAACAUUGGCGUUAAACAAAUUUUUUUAAAAAUUAAUUCGGAUUAUAGAUUAGAAAUAGUAAUACAAAUAUCCCUUCAAAUACUACUAUUACACAUUAUAUUUAUUGGGGUGGACAAUAAGAUUUGCUCAGCCGAUUUUAUAUAUUUUGUAUUUCUUGUUUACGGGUGAACAAAGUGUUAUAUCACAAAUUUUCGUUGGUGUUGCUGAAACUGCGUUGUUUAGUCCUGUCACUUGGGCUGAUGUAGAGUGGGUGAGUAUAUCCAAGCUUCGUUGAAGCCUUUGAGAUAUAAAUGUGGCCUCCGAUCCUGAAUCUAUUAGAGCUCUCGCAUAAUAUCGCUCUCCAUUAUAUUCUACUUGAACCAUAGCAGUACCCAAUAAUAUUUGCUUCCUACUUGGGUUGUGUGGUUCUCGGGUUGAGAAUUGAGUGGACUGUAAUGGGCUGGUGUAGGCUUGCUGAAUUGUGUUGUGGGUGGGUAUUGCGGUACUUGUAGCGGUAUCAGAAGUCGAACUGGUCGCUUCUGGAGUUGUGGUGGAUUCAGAUCUGGGGCUAUAUUCUCUAUGGAUCAGGGUAUUGUGUCUUUUAUGACAUUUUCGACAAGAAUAUUUACUCAUGCAGUUCUUGGAGCUGUGUGAUAUAGCUAAGCAGUUAUAGCAAUAGCCAUACUUAUUGAUCAUAGCAAUACGGGUCUCAACAUUCAUUGCUAGGAAUUGGGGGCAUUCACGAAUCGAGUGAUGCUUAUUGCAAAGUUUGCAACCUUCUACUUCCGGGUGGGGUUGAGAUGAACUGUUUUGAUAAUUUGAGGGUCCAGCUAUUGAGUUUUCUGACACAUUGGCAUGAAAUGUGUUAUAUUUCUUUCCGUCUGUCCUUUUUAAUGAGCCAAGGUGGGGUGAGUGGGGUUUUGUUACUGAAUCCUUGAAAUUUGAUACGGAUUCUAGGGUUUUAUAUUUAUGGGUCAAGAAAGAGUCGAAAUUUGACCAUGUGGGUAUAGAAGUAAUAUCUUCUAGGGUAGAUUCGAAUGCUUCUAGAGUUUGUUUGGGUAGUUUCGAACUACAAAGAUAUAUCAGUAUCGGGUCCCAACUUUUUGUGUCAAUCUGAAGAUGGGUUAAAUUGGUUAAAACAUUGUUAACCGUUCGUUGCAGGGCUUUUAUGGCGCAGCCUGUUUCUUGAGUGACAUCGGGUAGGUUGAGAAGGGUUUUUAAUUGGGUGUUGACUUGCAUUCUUUUGUUUUCAUACUGCUCGACCAGAUUCUUCCAAGCCAGUAUGAAACCAUCAUUCGUAAGGGGUGUGUUUUUAAUAGCUUCUCUUGCUUCGCCUCGGGUCUUCUGGGUAAGGUGAAAGAGUUUUUCAACAUUACUUAUUCUGGGGUUACGGAUAUACAAGGCCGUAAACAUAUCUCGGAAUGUGGGCCAAGCCGUGUAAUCUCCGUAAAAGAUGUCGGUGUCGCAGGGUGGUAGCUCAAUCUUGGGACCGAAAUCUAUUGUAGAGUCUUCUGAGGCUCUUUCCUUAUUGGGUUGGGAUGACGCGUGGGUUUUACGUCUGUUUACAUCUUCAUUUAUUGAGGCUAAGCAGGAUAGGUACAUAUUAUAGGAUUUCUUGUAUCUAUCCUUGACUUUAUUGAAGUCGAUGGUUUCGCGGGUAUCACUAGAAAUUCUCCGAAUAGCAUCAUAUGCCCUUUCUGCUUUCUCGUAAAGCGAAUUUAGUGUAACUCUUUUAAUUUCUAGGGUGUAAACUGUUUCUUCUUCAGCUUGGGUAUGGAAAUGAUCUUCCACGAAUUCUAUUAAAUCGGUGGUAGUGAAUUUAAAAUCCUCCAUUUCCAUGAUUUGGGUGGGUGUAAACAAUAUUAUUUGAGUGGGUAUGUAUUAAAUAAACAGGGUAGAGAGUAAAAUUUAUAAUUUGAAUUUAUUUUCAAAAUUUCCGUUUUUUGGCUUUUUUGUUGAGUACGGAUUAAUAUUUAUUAGGAAAACUAUUUAUUUUUGUGAUCUAUGGGCGAAUUAUGGGAAUAAAUUCGUAAAACAAAUUUGCAAUGAGUUUUUGCAAUUUUUCCUACUGGGUCACCUUACGAAUUUCCUAUUGGGUGCUUGCUUUAGUGUGCAGUGCCUGUUAUUGGUGAUCGCUACCAACAAUUCUUAUACGAACUAGAUCGCUAGUUCGUAUGCAUGCAAAUGGGUGCGGGUGUUUGUAUAUAUUAAUUAUUUUUGACAAGAAGAGUGCAAUAGCCGACGGCAAACAAUUAUAUGUUUUUAUUGCACUGCUUCUUUUGGGUACAUGUAUGUAUGUAAUAAUUAGUGCAAAGCAAAAUCAGGUAAACUCAAGGGAGACAAAUAAAAUGAAUUUAAGUACGCUUAAAUACACAAUUUGAAAUUUGAAAUUUUUGAUUCUGAUUUGCACUUUUAAUAAAAAUAAUGGGUCGCACAAAGGGAUUUCUCAAAUCUUUAUAAGUUUAGGGUAUUUUAUUUAUUUAGUUGUUGGUGGUGAUCCGCGUUCAAACUUUUUGUUGGGUGCACUAUGUAUAGUUGUUAUUGGGCGUUGGUGUAUUCCAACUAUGUUGUUAUUUCGGUGUAAUUGUUGUUGGGUAACUCCUCUCCUCCAAGCUAUCGCGGCUCGAUAGGACCAAAAAUGUCGAGUUAGGUCGACGAUGAGGCCGAUUCCGUUUGAAGAAAAGAGUUGGGGUGUUGAGUUUAAACUUUAUAAUAUUUAGUUUAUUUAUAUGGGUGUGUAAGUAACAAUAGGGUUAAUUGUUCUAUGUGUAAUUAUUUAGAAUUAAGUGUUAGUAUAUCGCAACUAUAUUGACCUGUAGGAUAAUUCCUUGUGUUGUGUAGUGUUUGACUCCUAUGUGUUGAUGAUGUUCCUCCUUCUUUGUUUACACUUUGUACGGGUUUGUGUUUUGUGGUUCUCUUAUUUAGUUAUGCGUUUUCGUUUGUUUUAUUGUUUACAAAUUUGUGUAAAUUUGGGUUUUUUGUUCACUUGUUUUAAAGCGCGGGUUUGAGUUCGAGUUUGUGUUAUUCACUUCACUUUUUCCUUUUCUCUAUAUUGUGUUGUACUCGUAAUGUGUGAUAAGCGAAGUUGGGGCGGUUUAUCUCCUCCGCAUUACCUAUCUAUUACUUUUUGGAGAGUAAUGCAGAGGAGUAUUUGUUUGAACUAAACAUACUACUAUUACACAUUAUAUUUAUUGGGGUGGACAAUAAGAUUUGCUCAGCCGAUUUUAUAUAUAAGAGAUGAUGAUAUUAAGACAGUAUACGUACUUCCAGUAGCUGCUGGUUUUUUGAAAGAGGAAGAGUGCCAAAAAUGACAAGUUACUCUCACAGCUAGUGAAAAUAAAGAAACGGAAAGCUAGAGAAAUUAAUAGAAUCUACUAUUACUAAGUAGAUAGACUUCUGAGUAUUAUAUCUUAAAAAUUAAUCAAUAUAUUAUUGAAUAAAUUGCUAUUCACGAUCUUUUAAAGUUUAAAAAAAGUUUAAAAUUUGAAUUAAAUUACAUGAAUGGCAGUAAUAAUUGAAUUGUAUGUAUGUAUGUGGUUGACGUUGGAACCGUAUAGCCGACUAUAGCCAAAUCGAUGAUAGCGCGCCACUCCUCUCUUUCCUUCGCAGUUCGGCGCCAGUUGGUCCCUCGAACGGAGUGGAGGCUUUCCCCUUCCUCUGCUUCCUUCGACGGAUACUGCAUCGAACACUUUCAAAGUUGGAGUGUUUUAAUCCAACUAUGUCAAUGUCGUCGUGUAACCCAUGCAGCUCAUCGUUCCAUCGUCUGCGGUAUUCGCCGUUGCCCAUGUUCUGUGGACCAUAAAUCUUGCGCAAAAUUUUCAUCUCGAAAACUCCUAGUGUUGACAUCGUACAUCUGAUGUUGACAUCGUACACGCUUAAAGCCGUCGGGAAUGAUAAGCGCCUUAUAGAGUUUGAUUUUGGUUCGUCGAGAGAGGACUUUACUUUUCAUUUGCCUACUCAGUCCAAAGUAGGACCUGUUGGCAAGAGUGAUUCUGCGCUGGAUUUCGAGGCUGACAUUGUUGGUGUUGUUGAUGCUGGUUCCCAAAUUAUCUACGACUUCGAAGUUAUGACAGUCAACAAUGACGUGGGAGCCAAGCCGCGAAGUCUUCCAUACAAAAUAAACUAAUAGCUUUUGCUAUUUGCUGGUCAAAUAAAACACGCCUAAUAUAUAAAACGCAAAUUUAGAGCAAUUGAUAGGAAAGAUACAAGUUCCGUCACGUUUCCAUACAGGAUAUUCGUAAAAUGCAAUGUAUUAUAAGUUAUAGACAUUUACAGUUUUGAACCCAACGAAAAAUAAAGUCAGACGGCUUAACCAUUCUGAAAAAUCUUUCGCAUACUUACAUGCUUAACUCUAUCAGCAUUGUUAAAUCAAAAUCGUCAGUAUAUUAAAAAUUAAAAGUAAAUAAUAUGACAUAAGAAUAUGUAUGUUUUUCAACUGCGGUGAAUAAAGAAACCAUAAUCAAAUAUGUACAUAUUUUUAUUAAAAAAUUCGUUUAACAUCUAAACUAAUAUUUUAAUGUUCAUUAAUUUAAACAAGAGUUUUUGUUGAAUUCUCCUUGUUAUAUAGCAUACUAACAUUUGAUAGUAAAGUAUGAAUAUGCUGACCAUCUUCAAAAGUUCAUCAAUCCUAUAUAUUAAACUGACUGCGCUGUUGGUUAGUUCAUGGAUGUGUGGAUUUCCACAUUAUUUUAUAAGU